rnacentral:rRNA from 1 species
GAUCAUGGCUCAGGAUGAACGCCAGCUACAGGCUUAACACAUGCAAGUCGAGGGGCAGCGAGAGGAAAGCUUGCUUUCCUGUCGGCGACCGGCGCACGGGUGAGUAACGCGUAUCCAACUUCCCCAUAGUAGAGGAUAGCCCGGCGAAAGUCGGAUUAAUACUCUAUGUUGUGUCAUGAGGACAUCUGAAUAACACUAAAGAUUUAUCGCUAUGGGAUGGGGAUGCGUCUGAUUAGCUUGUUGGCGGGUAACGGCCACCAAGGCGACGAUCAGUAGGGGUUCUGAGAGGAAGGUCCCCCACAUUGGUACUGAGACACGGACCAAACUCCUACGGGAGGCAGCAGUGAGGAAUAUUGGUCAAUGGACGGGAGUCUGAACCAGCCAAGUAGCGUGCAAGGAUGACUGCCCUAUGGGUUGUAAACUGCUUUUAUGCGGGAAUAAAGUCAGGUACGUGUACCUGUUUGUAUGUACCGCAUGAAUAAGGACCGGCUAAUUCCGUGCCAGCAGCCGC